rnacentral:rRNA from 1 species
GACGAACCGUGCGAACGUUGUUCGGAAUCACUGGGCUUAAAGGGCGCGUAGGCGGGCUGCUAAGUCAGGGGUGAAAGCCCACGGCUCAACCGUGGAAGUGCCUUUGAUACUGGCGGUCUGGAGGGAGGUAGGGGCGUGCGGAACUUCCGGUGGAGCGGUGAAAUGCGUAGAUAUCGGAAGGAACACCGGUGGCGAAAACGGCGCGCUGGACCUCUUCUGACGCUGAGGCGCGAAAGCCAGGGGAGCAAACGGG